UACAGAGGUCCCAAGCGUUGUUCGGAUUCACUGGGCGUAAAGGGUGCGCAGGUGGUCGGGUAAGUCUGAUGUGAAAUCCCGCAGCUCAACUGCGGAAUGGCAUUGGAUACUAUUUGGCUAGAGGGUUGGAGGGGGGACUGGAAUUCUCGGUGUAGCAGUGAAAUGCGUAGAUAUCGAGAGGAACACCAGUGGCGAAGGCGAGUCCCUGGACAGUGACUGACGCUGAGACGCGAAAGCGUGGGGAGCAAACAGG
rnacentral:rRNA from 1 species